GAUGAACGCUGGCGGCGUGCCUAAUACAUGCAAGUCGAGCGAACAGACGAGGAGCUUGCUCCUCUGACGUUGGCGGCGGACGGGUGAGUAACACGUGGAUAACCUACCUAUAAGACUGGGAUAACUUCGGGAAACCGGAGCUAAUACCGGAUAAUAUAUUGAACCGCAUGGUUCAAUAGUGAAAGACGGUUUUGCUGUCACUUAUAGAUGGAUCCGCGCCGCAUUAGCUAGUUGGUAAGGUAACGGCUUACCAAGGCAACGAUGCGUAGCCGACCUGAGAGGGUGAUCGGCCACACUGGAACUGAGACACGGUCCAGACUCCUACGGGAGGCAGCAGUAGGGAAUCUUCCGCAAUGGGCGAAAGCUUGACGGAGCAACGCCGCGUGAGUGAUGAAGGUCUUCGGAUCGUAAAACUCUGCUAUUAGGGAAGAACAAAUGUGUAAGUAACUAUGCACGUCUUGACGGUACCUAAUCAGAAAGCCACGGCUAACUACGUG
rnacentral:rRNA from 1 species